AUUGAACGCUGGCGGCAGGCUUAACACAUGCAAGUCGAGCGGGGUGAUGGUGCUUGCACUAUCACUUAGCGGCGGACGGGUGAGUAAUGCUUAGGAAUCUGCCUAUUAGUGGGGGACAACAUCUCGAAAGGGAUGCUAAUACCGCAUACGUCCUACGGGAGAAAGCAGGGGAUCACUUGUGACCUUGCGCUAAUAGAUGAGCCUAAGUCGGAUUAGCUAGUUGGUGGGGUAAAGGCCUACCAAGGCGACGAUCUGUAGCGGGCCUGAGAGGAUGAUCCGCCACACUGGGACUGAGACACGGCCCAGACUCCUACGGGAGGCAGCAGUGGGGAAUAUUGGACAAUGGGGGAACCCUGAUCCAGCCAUGCCGCGUGUGUGAAGAAGGCCUUAUGGUUGUAAAGCACUUUAAGCGAGGAGGAGGCUCUUUUGGUUAAUACCCAUGAUGAGUGGACGUUACUCGCAGAAUAAGCACCGGCUAACUCUGUGCCAGCCGCCGCCGUAA
rnacentral:rRNA from 1 species